rnacentral:rRNA from 1 species
AAGGAAUAUUGGUCAAUGGACGCAAGUCUGAACCAGCCAUGCCGCGUGGAGGAUGAAGGUCCUCUGGAUUGUACACUUCUUUUAUCUGGGAAGAAACCCAUGAAUUCUUUUGUGGUUGACGGUACCAGAUGAAUAAGCACCGGCUAACUCCGUGCCAGCAGCCGCGGUAAUACGGAGGGUGCAAGCGUUAUCCGGAUUCACUGGGUUUAAAGGGUGCGUAGGUGGAUUGGUAAGUCAGUGGUGAAAUCUCCAGGCUUAACUUGGAAACUGCCAUUGAUACUAUCAAUCUUGAAUACCGUGGAGGUCAGCGGAAUAUGUCAUGUAGCGGUGAAAUGCUUAGAUAUGACAUAGAACACCAAUUGCGAAGGCAGCUGGCUACACGAAUAUUGACACUGAUGCACGAAAGCGUGGGGAUCAAAC